rnacentral:rRNA from 1 species
UGAGGAAUAUUGGUCAAUGGGAGAGAUCCUGAACCAGCCAAGCCGCGUGAGGGAAGACGGCCCUAUGGGUUGUAAACCUCUUUUGUCGGAGAACAGAACCCGGGACGUGUCCCGGACUGCGUGUAUCCGAAGAAAAAGCAUCGGCUAACUCCGUGCCAGCAGCCGCGGUAAUACGGAGGAUGCGAGCGCUAUCCGGAUUUAUUGGGUUUAAAGGGUGCGUAGGCGGUCCGUUAAGUCAGCGGUAAAAUUGCGGGGCUCAACCCCGUCGAGCCGUUGAAACUGGCAGACUUGAGUUGGCGAGAAGUACGCGGAAUGCGCGGUGUAGCGGUGAAAUGCAUAGAUAUCGCGCAGAACUCCGAUUGCGAAGGCAGCGUACCGGCGCCAGACUGACGCUGAGGCACGAAAGCGUGGGGAUCGAACAG